CGGGUGCACUGAUCCAGCCGGGCCUUUCCCUCUGUGGAACCCCAUGGCCUUCACUGGCUGUGGUGGGGAAACAGGACUUUUACUUUGAAAAAAUUAGAGUGCUCCAGGCAGGCCUAUGCUCGAAUACAUUAGCAUGGAAUAAUAGAAUAGGACGUGUGGUUCUAUUUUGUUGGUUUCUAGGACCGCCGUAAUGAUUAAUAGGGACAGUCGGGGGCAUCAGUAUUCAAUUGUCAGAGGUGAAAUUCUUGGAUCUAUUGAAGACUAACUACUGCGAAAGCAUUUGCCAAGGAUGUUUUCAUUGAUAAGGAACGAAAGUUAGGGGAUCGAAGACGAUCAGAUACCGUCGUAGUCUUAACUAUAAACUAUGCCGACUAGGGAUCGGACGACGUUAUUCUUUGACGCGUUCGGCACCUUUCGAGAAAUCAAAGUGCUUGGGCUCCAGGGGGAGUAUGGUCGCAAGGCUGAAACUUAAAGAAAUUGACGGAAGGGCACCACCAGGGGUGGAACCUGCGGCUUAAUUUGACUCAACACGGGGAAACUCACCAGGUCCAGACACAGUGGGGAUUGACAGAUUGAGAGCUCUUUCUUGAUUCUGUGGGUGGUGGUGCAUGGGCCGUUCUUAGUUGGUGGAGUGAUUUGUCUGCUUAAUCGCGAUAACGAACGAGACCUUUAACCUGCUAAAUAGCCCGUACUGCUUUGGCAGUUCGCCGGCUUCUUAGAGGGACUAUCGG
rnacentral:rRNA from 1 species